UACAGAGGUGGCGAGCGUUGUUCGGAUUUACUGGGCGUAAAGGGCGCGUAGGCGGCGCAGUAUGUCGGGUGUGAAAUCUCCAGGCUCAACCUGGAAAGUGCACCCGAAACUACUGCGCUAGAGUACGGGAGGGGAGAUCGGAAUACAUGGUGUAGCGGUGAAAUGCGUUGAUAUCAUGUAGAACACCGGUGGCGAAGGCGGAUCUCUGGAACGUAACUGACGCUGAGGCGCGAAAGUCGGGGGAGCAAACAGG
rnacentral:rRNA from 1 species